GUUUUAGCGAUGAAGAGAAGAGUAUUUGGAAAAAAGGUCUCUUAGAGAGUGCUGUAAGGUGAAAGAGCACAGAUACUUUUUCAAAGAAUAAGGACUCGGAGCUUCUUGAAGUAAUAUUUCAAGACGUAGUUGGCGUUAACAAAUAAGUUUAAACUUAAAGAGGUACAUUUUGCGAGAAAUGUAUAAAAUUGGGUGGUACACGAUGCUUUCGUCCCUUGG
rnacentral:ncRNA from 1 species